rnacentral:rRNA from 1 species
CAGAACGAACGCUGGCGGCGUGCCUAACACAUGCAAGUCGCGCGCGAAGGGCUUCGGCCUUGUAGAGCGGCGCACGGGUGAGUAACACGUGGGUAAUCUACCCUUAGGUCUGGGAUAACCCGGGGAAACUCGGGCUAAUACCGGUUAAGACCACGAGACGAGAGUCUUGUGGGAAAAGCGGAGGACUCUUUCGAGAGCUUCGUGCCAAAGGAUGAGCCCGCGUCCCAUCAGCUAGUUGGCGGGGUAACGGCCCACCAAGGCUAAGACGGGUAGCUGGUCUGAGAGGAUGAUCAGCCACACUGGAACUGAGACACGGUCCAGACUCCUACGGGAGGCAGCAGUGGGGAAUCUUGCGCAAUGGGGGAAACCCUGACGCAGCAACGCCGCGUGAGUGAUGAAGGUCUUCGGAUCGUAAAGCUCUGUCGGCAGGAACGAUGGAUAGCGUGGAUAACACCCACGAGAUCUGACGGUACCUGCAAAGGAAGCACCGGCUAACUCUGUGCCAGCAGCCGCGGUAA